rnacentral:tRNA from 1 species
AGACUACGUAAGUUGCAAAACGCUAAGAUUUGACCUUAGGAGAGAUAAAUUUAUCGUUGUUUUG